UCAGAUCCAGCAUGUGGUUGGC
rnacentral:siRNA from 1 species